UACGGAAGGCAGCAGUGGGGAAUAUUGCACAAUGGGCGCAAGCCUGAUGCAGCCAUGCCGCGUGUAUGAAGAAGGCCUUCGGGUUGUAAAGUACUUUCAGUCGUGAGGAAGGUGUUAAGGUUAAUAACCUUAGCAAUUGACGUUAGCGACAGAAGAAGCACCGGCUAACUCCGUGCCAGCAGCCGCGGUAAUACGGAGGGUGCGAGCGUUAAUCGGAAUUACUGGGCGUAAAGGGCACGCAGGCGGUUAAUUAAGUUGGAUGUGAAAUCCCCGGGCUUAACCUGGGAAUGGCAUUCAAGACUGGUUAGCUAGAGUCUUGUAGAGGGGGUAGAAUUCCAUGUGUAGCGGUGAAAUGCGUAGAGAUGUGGAGGAAUACCGGUGGCGAAGGCGGCCCCUGGACAAAGACUGACGCUCAUGUGCGAAAGCGUGGGGAGCAAAC
rnacentral:rRNA from 1 species